ACCAGACUCCUACGGGAGGCAGCAGUGGGGAAUAUUGCACAAUGGGGGAAACCCUGAUGCAGCGACGCCGCGUGAGUGAAGAAGUAUUUCGGUACGUAAAGCUCUAUCAGCAGGGAAGAAAAUGACGGUACCUGACUAAGAAGCCCCGGCUAACUACGUGCCAGCAGCCGCGGUAAUACGUAGGGGGCAAGCGUUAUCCGGAUUUACUGGGUGUAAAGGGAGCGUAGACGGCAGCACAAGUCUGGAGUGAAAUCCCGGGGCUUAACCCCGGAACUGCUUUGGAAACUGUGCGGCUGGAGUGCAGGAGGGGCAGGCGGAAUUCCUGGUGUAGCGGUGAAAUGCGUAGAUAUCAGGAGGAACACCGGUGGCGAAGGCGGCCUGCUGGACUGCAACUGACGUUGAGGCCCGAAAGCGUGGGGAGCAAACAGGAUUAGAUACCCGCGUA
rnacentral:rRNA from 1 species